rnacentral:rRNA from 1 species
GAGCGCAACCCUCAUUGCAUGUUAAUUUUUCAUGCGAGACUGCCCUGGUUAACAGGGAGGAAGGUGGGGAUGACGUCAAGUCAGCAUGGCCCUUACACCUUGGGCUACACACGUGUUACAAUGGCCGGUACAAUAAGUCGCAAUACCGCAAGGUGGAGCUAAUCUAUGAAACCGGUCCCAGUUCGGAUUGGGGGCUGAAACUCGCCCCCAUGAAGUUGGAAUCGCUAGUAACCGUGAAUCAGCACGUCACGGUGAAUACGUUCCCGGGUCUU